AGUUUGAUCCAGAAAUUGAGAAGACAGCUCGUGCAAAUCGGAAAGCGGCAAGGGAAUCUCAAGCUUCUAGGGAAAAAGCUUCGUUAGGUGGUGUACCGGACUGUCAAGAACAGAGUUCAGCUGCUAUGGAAGAAGAGCAGGAUCCACCGAUCAACGUUCCACCGAUUCCUCAACCACAAAGACGUACUCUUGGUGACUAUGGGCGAAGGGAUAAUGACGCUCUAGCAAAUCAAGGUUUUCAACCGGCAAACCCGGUCUCCUUUGACAUAAAGAAUACUGUGUUAUCCGC
rnacentral:lncRNA from 1 species